CCUACGGGUGGCAGCAGUCGAGAAUUUUUCUCAAUGGGGGAAACCCUGAAGGAGCGACGCCGCGUGGAGGAUGAAGGCUUUCGGGUUGUAAACUCCUGUCAUUUGGGAACUAGUACCAGAAGAGGAAGGGACGGCUAACUCUGUGCCAGCAGCCGCGGUAAUACAGAGGUCCCAAGCGUUGUUCGGAUUCAUUGGGCGUAAAGGGUGCGUAGGUGGCGCCGUAAGUCGGGUGUGAAAUUUCGGAGCUUAACUCCGAAACUGCAUUCGAUACUGCGGUGCUUGAGGACUGGAGAGGAGACUGGAAUUCAUGGUGUAGCAGUGAAAUGCGUAGAGAUCAUGAGGAAGACCAGUGGCGAAGGCGGGUCUCUGGACAGUCCUGACACUGAGGCACGAAGGCCAGGGGAGCAAACGGGAUUAGAUACCCUUGUAGUC
rnacentral:rRNA from 1 species